rnacentral:rRNA from 1 species
UACAGAGGCCUCAAGCGUUGUUCGGAUUCAUUGGGCGUAAAGGGUGCGCAGGCGGUCGGGUAAGUCGGAUGUGAAAUCCUGGGGCUCAACCUCAGAACUGCAUUCGAUACUGCCUGGCUAGAGGAUUGGAGAGGAGAGUGGAAUUCACGGUGUAGCAGUGAAAUGCGUAGAGAUCGUGAGGAAGACCAACGGCGAAGGCAGCUCUCUGGACAAUUCC